rnacentral:rRNA from 1 species
CCUACGGGUGGCAGCAGUGAGGAAUAUUGGUCAAUGGACGAGAGUCUGAACCAGCCAAGUAGCGUGAAGGAUGACUGCCCUAUGGGUUGUAAACUUCUUUUAUAUGGGAAUAAAAUGUUCCACGUGUGGGAUUUUGUAUGUACCAUAUGAAUAAGGAUCGGCUAACUCCGUGCCAGCAGCCGCGGUAAUACGGAGGAUCCGAGCGUUAUCAGGAUUUAUUGGGUUUAAAGGGAGCGUAGGUGGCUUGUUAAGUCAGUUGUGAAAGUUUGCGGCUCAACCGUAAAAUUGCAGUUGAAACUGGCAGUCUUGAGUACAGUAGAGGUGGGCGGAAUUCGUGGUGUAGCGGUGAAAUGCUUAGAUAUCACGAAGAACUCCGAUUGCGAAGGCAGUUCACUGGACUGCAACUGACACUGAGGCUCGAAAGUGUGGGUAUCAAACAGGAUUAGAUACCCGUGUAGUC